rnacentral:misc_RNA from 1 species
UGCAGAGAUAGCUUGCUGGAUGUACACCGGGGAGCGGCAGGUAGGGGAGCUGCGGCGGCGGUAUCUGGAGGCUGUGCUGCGGCAGGAUGUGGGGUUUUUCGAUACCGAUGCGAGAACUGGUGAUAUUGUCUUUAGUGUCUCGACUGAUACACUUCUUGUCCAGGAUGCCAUUAGUGAGAAGGUGGGGAAUUUUAUUCACUAUUUGUCGACGUUUCUCGCGGGGCUGGUGGUGGGG